AGUGAACGCUGGCGGUAGGCCUAACACAUGCAAGUCGAACGGCAGCACAGUAAGGGCUUGCUCUUACGGGUGGCGAGUGGCGGACGGGUGAGGAAUACAUCGGAAUCUACUUUUUCGUGGGGGAUAACGUAGGGAAACUUACGCUAAUACCGCAUACGACCUACGGGUGAAAGCAGGGGAUCUUCGGACCUUGCGCGAUUGAAUGAGCCGAUGUCGGAUUAGCUAGUUGGCGGGGUAAAGGCCCACCAAGGCGGCGAUCCGUAGCUGGUCUGAGAGGAUGAUCAGCCACACUGGAACUGAGACACGGUCCAGACUCCUACGGGAGGCAGCAGUGGGGAAUAUUGGACAAUGGGCGCAAGCCUGAUCCAGCCAUACCGCGUGGGUGAAGAAGGCCUUCGGGUUGUAAAGCCCUUUUGUUGGGAAAGAAAAGCAGCAGGUUAAUACCCCGCUGUUCUGACGGUACCCAAAGAAUAAGCACCGGCUAACUUCGUG
rnacentral:rRNA from 1 species